rnacentral:rRNA from 1 species
CCUACGGGUGGCAGCAGUGGGGGAUAUUGCACAAUGGGGGGAACCCUGAUGCAGCGACGCCGCGUGGGUGAAGAAGCGCCUCGGCGCGUAAAGCCCUGUCAGCAGGGAAGAAAAUGACGGUACCUGUAGAAGAAGCCCCGGCUAACUACGUGCCAGCAGCCGCGGUAAUACGUAGGGGGCAAGCGUUAUCCGGAUUUACUGGGUGGAAAGGGGGCGCAGACGGCGAUGCAAGCCAGGUGUGAAAGCCCGGGGCCCAACCCCGGGACUGCUGUUGGAACUGCGUGGCUGGAGUGCAGGAGGGGCAGGCGGAAUUCCUGGUGUAGCGGUGAAAUGCGUAGAUAUCAGGAGGAACACCGGUGGCGAAGGCGGCCUGCUGGACAGCAACUGACGUUGAGGCCCGAAAGCGUGGGGAGCAAACAGGAUUAGAUACCCUUGUAGUC